UAUUAAACUUGCUUCUAUGCGUUAGCGGCGGACGGGUGAGUACACGUGGGCACCUGCCUGUAAGACUGGGAUAACUUCGGGAAACCGAAGCUAAUACCGGAUAGGAUCUUCUCCUUCAUGGGAGAUGAUUGAAAGAUGGUUUCGGCUAUCACUUACAGAUGGGCCCGCGGUGCAUUAGCUAGUUGGUGAGGUAACGGCUCACCAAGGCAACGAUGCAUAGCCGACCUGAGAGGGUGAUCGGCCACACUGGGACUGAGACACGGCCCAGACUCCUACGGGAGGCAGCAGUAGGGAAUCUUCCGCAAUGGACGAAAGUCUGACGGAGCAACGCCGCGUGAGUGAUGAAGGCUUUCGGGUCGUAAAACUCUGUUGUUAGGGAAGAACAAGUACGAGAGUAACUGCUCGUACCUUGACGGUACCUAACCAGAAAGCCACGGCUAACUACGUGCCAGCAGCCGCGGUAAUACGUANGUGGCAAGCGUUUCCGAUUUU
rnacentral:rRNA from 1 species